GUGAUCCUUUGGGCGGCACAUAUACUAAAAUUGGAAUGAUACAGAUAAGGUUAGCAUGGCUCCUGUGCGAGGAUGACACACAAAUCUGUGAAAAAAAAAUCUAAUCA